rnacentral:misc_RNA from 1 species
UUUUUUUUCCUUUUUUUUUGUUUGCUUGUUUUUCUGCUGUAUUUUAAGAGGAAAGAGUGAGGCUUUUAGUUUAAUGGUUUCUUUCUUUUGUUUGGGUUGCUGGAAUUCCCUGAGAAACUGAUGUUAGAUAGAGGAUAAGGAAGAGGGCAAGCUUUAAGUAACAAAGAUAAUGAGUGGGAAUUAUAUGGGUAACCUUUAAAAAGCAAAAUUUUUUUCAGAAAAG